UACAGAGGGUGCGAGCGUUAAUCGGAAUUACUGGGCGUAAAGCGCACGUAGGCGGCUUGGUAUGUCGGGUGUGAAAUCCCCGGGCUCAACCUGGGAACUGCAUCCGAAACUGCCUUGCUAGAGUAUGGGAGAGGGAAGUGGAAUUUCCGGUGUAGCGGUGAAAUGCGUAGAUAUCUGGAGGAACACCGGUGGCGAAGGCGGCGUUCUGGACUGCAACUGACACUGAGGAACGAAAGCCAGGGAGCAAACGGG
rnacentral:rRNA from 1 species